rnacentral:rRNA from 1 species
AGCGAACGCUAGCGGCGGGCCUAACACAUGCAAGUCGAACGCGUGCCUUCGGGUACGAGUGGCGGACGGGUGAGUAACACGUAGGUAUCUGCCCUUCGGUGGGGGAUAACCCGGGGAAACUCGGGCUAAUACCGCAUAUGGUCUACGGAUCAAAGCCUUCGGGCGCCGGGGGAUGAGCCUGCGGCCCAUUAUUUAAUCCUAGUUGGCGGGGUAAUGGCCCACCAAGGGUACGAUGGGUAGCUGGUCUGAGAGGAUGAUCAGCCACACUGGAACUGAGACACGGUCCAGACUCCUACGGGAGGCAGCAGUGGGGAAUAUUGCGCAAUGGGCGGAAGCCUGACGCAGCCACGCCGCGUGGGUGAUGAA